AUGAGGUUACUAGUUGGGAUUGUGAGGCUUGUUGCUCUGGUGUUGAUGUUGCUCGUCGGUUCAUCGGUUCACCAGGCGGUAGGAGUUGGUGCUAUCAGGCUGCACGACAGAAGGACGCACGGGGAGCAGUGGGCGGAGGAGAGGAUGCAGAUGAGGUCCUACAUGACCAUGGACUACACCCGCGUCAAGCGGCGCACGCCCAAGCACAACUGA
rnacentral:rRNA from 1 species